rnacentral:rRNA from 1 species
AGAGUUUGAUCAUGGCUCAGAACAAACGCUGGCGGCGUGCCUAACACAUGCAAGUCGCACGAGAAAUCUUGAGCAAUCGAGAGAGUAAAGUGGCGCACGGGUGAGUAGCGCGUGGGUAACCUACCCUUGGGUUGGGGAUAACUCCUCGAAAGGGGUGCUAAUACCGGGUAAUAUUCUGACCUCUUCGGAGAUUGGAAUCAAAGGGGGCCUCUGCAUGCAAGCUUCCGCCUAAGGAUGGGCCCGCGUACCAUUAGCUAGUUGGUAGGGUAAUGGCCUACCAAGGCGACGAUGGUUAGCUGGUCUGAGAGGAUGGCCAGCCACACUGGAACUGAGACACGGUCCAGACUCCUACGGGAGGCAGCAGUGGGGAAUCUUGCGCAAUGGGGGAAACCCUGACGCAGCAACGCCGCGUGGGUGAUGAAGGCCUUCGGGUCGUAAAGCCCUGUCAGGUGGAAAGAAUCGUGUCGGUACGAACAAUACCGAUGCUUGACGGUACCACCGGAGGAAGCACCGGCUAACUCCGUGCCAGCAGCCGCGGUAAUACGGAGGGUGCAAGCGUUGUUCGGAAUUAUUGGGCGUAAAGCGCGUGUAGGCGGUCAGGCAAGUCAGAUGUGAAAGCCUUUCGCUUAACGAAAGAAAUGCAUUUGAAACUACCUGGCUGGAGUUCGGUAGAGGAGAGUGGAAUUCCCGGUGUAGAGGUGAAAUUCGUAGAUAUCGGGAGGAACACCAGUGGCGAAGGCGGCUCUCUGGCCCGAUACUGACGC